AUGGGAUUUCACAGCCCCGAGCCCCCCUUUCAUGCGGUUCCUGAGGGGUCGGGGCAGGACCUCAAUCCCAACACCCGCUGCUUUUGCCUCAGCUCUGCUCCUGGGUUCGGCUCCUGGCACCCUGCAGGCACAGCAUCCCUCCGCCCCACACUCCUUCCCUUUCUGUGCGAGCACUGCAUUUCUCAUGACAAGAUUGGAUGUUACCUGUGCUGCCCAGCACGCGGAAACAACCCCGUGCGGAACAGCGGCCCCGCCGAGCUAACUCACGCUCACGGCAGCCCUCCGGUCCGCACAAAGGGCCCUCAGCCACGGCGCUUGCGGGAACGGCUGCGGGCGCCCUUCGGGCCUCGGCAGCGCCCCCAGGGGGCCCGACCGCGGCGGGCCGCUCCCGGAGCCGCAGAGGGCCCGGCCGGGCCGCGCCGCCCCGAACCCCCCGGCCGCCAUCCGCGGCCCGGCCGAGCCCGGCGCCGGGCGUUCCGGAGCGAGCACCGCCCCGCGGGAGGGGGGCCGCCGCCCCGCCCCGCCCCGCCCCGCCCCGCCGAGCCCGGCGCCGCCGCCCGCAGCCCCGCGGCCCCGCGCCCGCGCCGCUGGAGGAUGGUGGCGGCCCGGGGCGCUGCCGCCCGCCGCGGAGCGCUGCUGCUGCUGCUGCCGCUGCUGCUCGCCGCCCUCGGGGCCUGCCGCCCGCGCUCCGCCCGCGCCGGUGAGUGCGCGCCGCGGCCUGGCUGCGGCUCCGGCUCCGGCUCCGCGUCCGGGUCCGGCUCCGCGUCCGCGGCGCCCCGGGGCUCCGCGCUGCGUUGUGCCCAGCGGUCCCCGGGCCGUUCUGGCCGGGCCUGCUCCUGCCCCCUCCCCAGGGAGCCGCCUGUCGGCUUCGUGCCCCUCUCCCCCGGGGGCCGGCCACCCGCGGAUGAGCAGUGCCCACCCCGCUGGGGCGGGCCCUGGGACGGGGCAGGGGCUGUGCCCCCCCCCCCCCCCGCGGCGGGGCAGCGGCGGCCGGGAGGCGGCGGGCGGUGCGAAGCCGGGGCGGGGAGCCGGCAGCCCGCAGGUGCCGCCGGGGCCUCUCGCGGUCCUGGGGCGGACGAGCUCUCAGACCCCCCGGGCUGGGGUCGAAACGCCUCGUGGGGCUGCUGUCUGCUUCCCGGGGUGCCGCAGACCCGGGCUCCGCCGCGCCCGGCUCGGAAACGCCACCGGCCUGAGGCCGUGGGUGCGUGGCUGAGAGAUGUGCGCUGCCCCCGGGGCGUGCUGGGCCCCAGCAGGGAUGCCUUGGGGGCGAUGGAGCUGGCAAAGCAGCUCCGCUCGAGUCGGGGCUUCCCAGCGUCCUCCUCCGGGGCUCCCGGGUGA
rnacentral:lncRNA from 1 species